UACGAAGGGUGCAAGCGUUAAUCGGAAUUACUGGGCGUAAAGGGUGCGUAGGCGGUUAGUUAAGUCUGUUGUGAAAUCCCCGGGCUCAACCUGGGAAUGGCAAUGGAUACUGGCUGGCUAGAGUGUGUCAGAGGAUGGUGGAAUUCCCGGUGUAGCGGUGAAAUGCGUAGAGAUCGGGAGGAACAUCGGUGGCGAAGGCGGCAUUCUGGACCGAUAUUGACGCUGAGGAGCGAAAGCCAGGGGAGCAAACGGG
rnacentral:rRNA from 1 species